AAUUCUAUCGAGCUUUUCUUCUUUCCAGCCCGAGUUCGAACCUUGGAACGGUUUCGUAUUCCCCUUCUCUGAUCGGCCGAUCCGCGCUCCUAGGUAGCCUGUAACAACUGCUGGACUGGGGCAUAAGGAAGAAGCAAAAAACAGACUCAUACGUGGGGUUCCCUAUUCAAGCACUACAUCAGACAUCCUAUGUCUGCAAUAUGCUGAUGAUAUGGUGAUUUUAAGUGACAACAACACGGAACACAUCCAACACCUCAAGUUCAUACUAUACUCAUUUGAAAUUAUUUCAGGACUGAAGAUCAACUUUGAUAAGAGUGCUCUAUAUGGAAUUAAUCUAUCUGAAGCAAGGAGCAAGCAGCUGGUGGCUAUAUUGGGAUGCCCUCUCUCCAUAUUGCCAACCAAAUACUUAGGAUUCCCACUACACAAUGGUCAUGUAAGAUCAUUGGAUUGAAACUUGGUGGAGAAAGUGGACAAGAAACUCUCUGCAUGGAAGGAUAAGUUACUGUCUUUAGGAGGAUGUUUGACACUGGUUAAUACAGUUUCGAGUGCCCUGCCCACAUACUGGAUGUCAACCUUCCUCCUUCCAGUCAAUGUGGUAAAUCAAAUUGACAAAAGAAGAAGGGAUUUCCUAUGGAGGGUUGAGAAACAUUGCUCUGGAGGUCACUGUCUGGCAAACUGGGAACAAGUCUGCAGACCAAAGAAAUUCGAUGGACUGGGCGUACUAAUCCUUCGACUUUUUAACAAAUGCUUACCACUCAAGAGAUGGUGGAGAUACCAUAAUGAACAUCAAAGGAAUUGGUGAAUAAUGAUUUCAGAUAUUCACUACAAGAACACGGCAGUGUCUUUAAGAAAGCCAUCUGGUCUCAAGCUAGCAUCAACUGCAUGAAAAAACACUCAGCAAGUUCGAAAAUUAUUCGAAGCAGGAAUUGAAUACCUGUUAGGUGAAGGGAAGGAAAUAGCAUUUUGGCUCGAUCGCUGAUAUGCAGAUUAGCCGCUUAAGUAUAUCAUUCCAAAUCUUUUUAUGCUUACUACUGCCCCAAUGAUCUCUGUUCGUGAUAUCAUAAACACCCAAAAUAUUCACAGCCUUUUCAGCUGGCCGCUUAACACUCAAGGCAGGAAUGAACUUCAUCAACUCCAAAUACUAUACUACACUCAAUCAAUGCAGCUGGGGGAAAUGACACAGUUAUUUGGAGAUGAAGCUCAUGUAGUAAAUACACAGUUCGCCAAUUCUAUAACUUCCUAAGUCAUGGAGGAAUAGUCUCAAGCUUUGCAGCAAUAAUCUUGCGGCUGUCGAUACCAGCAAAAAUAAAAAUCUUCAACUGGUUAGUCUACCAUAAUAAGAUCCUCACAGCUGAUAACCUCAAGAACAGAAGGUUCCCAGCUCCAUUGCAGUGUGUACUCUGCUACUUGGAGGAGGAAAGCAUUGAUCAUCUCUUCUUUACAUGUAGAUACUCCAAGCACAUAUGGCUAUAUCUCACCCAGCAAAUGUCCGUGGCAUCACUUCCAAUCAGCAUCCACGAACUAUGGGGAGAGUGGAGGGAGAACCUACCUCAUAACAUCCCAAAGCUCGAAUGGGAUUGCAUUGCUGUUGCAAAACUAUGGUGCAUCUAGAAGGAACGCAACAAUAGGAUCUUUCGGUUUCAAGCGAACUCCUACAUCAAGACAAUUGAAAUCACCUGCUCAACGUUGAGAGCCUGGCUUAGUCAAACGAAACUAUAAGCCAAUACCUGUUUACUCGACCUGCUACAAAAUUCUGGAUGAAGGAGACGUCCGAAAUUGUUCUGAAUGGUCUGCAACUGCACUCUUAGAAGCUGUAAACAAAGAACAGAGCAGCAACAAAAUUUGAUAUUCUGACAGCCUGAAAAUCUGAAACCUGGAAAGCCUGCUCUGAAUAUAGGAGAACCUGUAACAACAUUUCGAAACCUGCCACAGUACCCAGACAUGUAUCUGAAAAUCUGCUAAUUGCACAACCUGACAACACAAAGCUGUAAUUGAAUUCCUCUUUCCAAACUUUUGGACCUGCUGUUAAACUCCCUCAGUUUGAUGCACCAUGUUUUGUAAAUAUUUUUUCACUAAUGAAAUUGGGUGGUUCUACCUCCCACUUCA